rnacentral:rRNA from 1 species
UACGGGGGGGGCAAGCGUUGUUCGGAAUUACUGGGCGUAAAGGGCGCGUAGGUGGCCAACUAAGUCAGACGUGAAAUCCCUCGGCUUAACCGGGGAACUGCGUCUGAUACUGGAUGGCUUGAGUUCGGGAGAGGGAUGCGGAAUUCCAGGUGUAGCGGUGAAAUGCGUAGAUAUCGUGAGGAACACCAGAGGCGAAGGCGGUUUCCUGGACAGUUACUGACGCUCAGGCACGAAAGCAUGGGGAGCAAACGGG